rnacentral:rRNA from 1 species
GGUUAAGUUAAUAAGGGCACACGGUGGAUGCCUUGGCGUUAGGAGCCGAAGAAGGACGCAGCGAACUGCGAUAAGCCUCGGGGAGUGGUAAGCACACUUUGAUCCGGGGAUCUCCGAAUGGGGGAACCCACCAUCUGUAAUGGGAUGGUAUCCUUCACUGAAUACAUAGGUGAUGAGAGGGCAGACCCGG